rnacentral:lncRNA from 10 species
CUUCUUCCGGGCUCCCAGAGCACCGCUAUGGAGAUGCUCUCCCGGCAUUUGAGGAAGAAUUGAUUGUCCUCAUCCUGCAACUGUACUUGCCCAACCGAUAUUUAUUGAUGCCUGCAGUGUCCUGGGUGCCUACCAAGGGGCACAGAACUGGAUCCGACGCAGACCCUGCCUGCCUUCAGGUUGCUUGAAGAUGAACAGAGAGAUCGGACCUCUGCAUGAAGCCAGACUGCUCAUCAUUCCAGACAUCUUCAGCUGCUACACCCAGAACAAGCAUUCGAAAUAUGAACAGGAUGGUGAGCCAGAUCUUUCCAAUCAUGGUGGAGUGGAUGUGAACUUCCUCCAGAGUAUCUCCAAGGAGAUUCCAGUCCCCCAUGUUUAUUUAGUCAGCCAUCUUAGCUCUGAUCCACAUCAAAUAAGAGGCAGAUAAAUUCUUCCAUUCUGAAGGGAGCACUAUUUCUUAAAGCAAACCUAUGGUGAAAAUAUAACAAUAUGUCACUUCUA